UACGAAGGGGGCUAGCGUUGUUCGGAAUUACUGGGCGUAAAGCGCGCGCAGGCGGUCUUCCAAGUCAGGGGUGAAAGCCCGGAGCUCAACUCCGGAACUGCCAUUGAAACUGUAAGACUUGAGUACGAGAGAGGUGAGUGGAAUUCCCAGUGUAGAGGUGAAAUUCGUAGAUAUUGGGAAGAAUACCGGUGGCGAAGGCGGCUCACUGGCUCGUAACUGACGCUCAGGCGCGACAGCGUGGGGAGCAAACAGG
rnacentral:rRNA from 1 species